CAAUACCACUCUUGUUGUAACUGAAUAAUAUGUCCCAAUAUUUAUUCUGGUCAACAAAUUGUACUAUUUUAGAAUAUUUCAAUUAAUUAAUGAUACAAAUUUCAUCUUAACACACCUUAUUUAAAAAUUUUGAAAAAUUCAAAAUAAUGGUUUGAAACGUCUAACGUAAACCUUUUCAAAUGAAACUUCGAUUUAAAAAUAUUUUCGAACCCUCUGGACAAGUAAAAUAGGAUGUAAUGGAUAAUUUACACAACAGGUAGGACACUUAAACAUCUAGUACUUAGAUAGAGAUAUUAUUUAUUUUCUGGAGCCUUAAAGCCAGCAAGAGUGUUAUUGUCCCUUUAAAACACUUCAUUUCUCAAUUUUGGAGUGGUUUGCAUACCUUGUCACCAAAAACCAAACAGAUGUAUAGCACUACCCUGUAUUAAACUAUCCAUCGUGUAACGUGGGUCUUGGUCUUCGUCCCAUUCGAACGACUAGACCCCCCAGGUUAAUGAGCAAGUGCGGCCCCCUUCAUAUCUUGAGCACAGAUACUUGUUUGCAUUAUCCAAUAGCAAGGAUGGGGAUGAAUAUUUAGUGGAACAAAUUGAAUAUAGUUUAUGUGAAAUCUGUAGUUAUCAGACAUAUGAUUAUGAUGAAUUCUAUCAACAAUUUCAAACGAGUACAAGAUAUAAGUAUUGUACAUAUGGCUGUUGUGGUGUCAAUUUAUUAGAUCAAUAUUGUUGUACAGUUCCAAUUGGUUUGAUAAUAGGCUGUUCAGUUGGAGCUGUAUUUAUCGUUGCAUUGGGUAUUAUAUUCUGUAUAUGUUGUUGUUGUGUGUGUGGCAGAUCACGAAGACGGAGAAAUGGACAAGUUAUUCGUGGUCCAACCGUUAUAUUCCAUACAGGUCAAUCAAAUUAUCAACAACAAUCAACAGACGCCAGUGAUGUAUUAAAUGCCCCGCCGCCAUCUUACGAGGAAGUUAUGUCUGGACAAGAUAAUUACAGUUUUAAAAACACAUAAACACUUUGGAUUCACCGUGUCAUUUAUAAUUCAAAAUCUCCCGAUUUUAGUCAUAUAGAUUUCUGUAGAAUGUACUCAUAUCACUGUGCUCUCUGUGUCAAGUUGCAGGAAUAUACACUUUAAUAAGAAAAAACUACUUUUUUGAUAAUGAUCAUCUCCAAUGUUCCUGAUACCGUGUAGUAAAGAAGGCUACUGUGGGAAGGAUCAGUUAAAUAGUAAUCUUGUGAAUGUGUUCAGAAUGACUGAUGAUUUUGUUUAUGACUAUUACAGUAGUCUUGUGAUUACAGCCUUAUCAUACUGGUAGAUCAACUGAAAGAUUGUGUAAUUGUGUACCCCCCACGCCCUUGGAUUUAAGAAUCUUUCCAUCCACCAUUUUGAACAGCUACACUAAUCACUUAUCCCCUCCCCUCUAUAUUCGCUGUACAUGCAAUGCAGGUAAAUUGAGUAGUGGAUAAUUUCUUGCUUAAUCAAUCAAAACCUUUUUACUACCCCUCAAGCGCAAGUUAUUUUUUUUACAGUUACAGUAAGUUGACUUAGUAAACAUUAUUUGAACCGGCGGGCGAAACUAAUCAAUUGAAUUUGCUUGUUUGUUUUUAAAUGCUUUCUUUGUUUAACAUUUGUGUGAAAUUUAAAAAUCAAAAGUUGGGGAGAUAGUAGUCAUGCCGGGUAAUCAGCGCCGCCCCAAAAUCAACAAAGGACUAAUCAUUUAUGAAAUUAUUUUAUUAUAACCCGUGAUAGUCGUGUACAAAUGUAAAUAUAUCAAAUGAAAAAGUUAGAUACAGGGCAAUUUUACGGAUUUCGAGUUAGUAACGCCAAAGGGCGUGCCAGAGAAUAAAGAUCUAGUCAUUUUUGUCAUAUUUAUGAUUGAGCGCAAGAACUCGUUACAUUACUUUAAUACGUUAGAUUGACAGUUUGUCUUUUUAAAUUGUAUUCAUCUAUAAAUUGUGUUCUUAAAUAAUACAAUCGUGUAUAUUUAAAAUAAUUUGUGAUUGUUUAAAGACAUGAAUAAACAAACAUCUUUAUACUGAUA